ACGUCAGUCUCUUUAAUAAAGUCAUUAUAAUUUGUGAGGAGCUACCCUAACUAUUUAUUAUCGUUCAACUGGCAUGGGGAGCCCCCUCAAAUACAAUCAUAUAUUUGAUGCACCACUUUCAUUUCCACAUUCCUCCACCUUUUCAGCAUCUAUUUCUCUUUCUACUUGUCUGGUUUUUUCAUUUCCCCCCAAUGUCACGUCAUUAACCUCACUCUUCCACCACCAAACUCAUAAUUUUCAUCAAAAAAUCUUCAACAGGCUUAUUUAAAAGGAGAAUAAAAUCAAAGAUUCAAAGUUGUUUAAUUUUUCCUCUAAGGAGACGAGGAACAGAGAAACAGCAAUGAGAAAACAGGGGAAAGUGUACAAUGUAACGGAAUAUCCAAGGAAGGCAGUGAACAAAAAGAAGAAGACAUUACAUGUAAACGACGUCGUUUGUAAGGCUUCUUUACCAACGAAACUUCCAAAACCAGUUGAUGAAGAUCUCUACAAAAUCUCUCCAGAACUCCUUCGCACAACCAAACGAAAGAAAAUGUUUGGUUUCAUUUCCAUGUGUCUGUUGCCUACUGCAUGUGUUUCAUGACCAAUCAAUUACGUUGCCGACAAGCAUCAACGAAGAUUUUUAUUUUUAGGUUUUUUUGUUAGUUAUGCUGCUGGCUUUGUAAUGCUUGUUUUCUUGUGCAUUCAAAGGUGGAUGACUUUUUAUUUGAAUGAAUUAAUGUACAAGUCAUUACUAUUACUAUCUAAUUGGAUGUCAUGAGCUUGAUUGUAUUCUUUAUUUAAAGGAAUGGAGUUAUUUGAACACUCAAAUACUUUAAUAUUGGCGUUUGACAUUGUAUACCAGCAUCAUGUACAAAUAUCAUUUAUAACGGGUGAUGGGACAAAAGAAAAGAGAAUAAAAUAAUAAA